CCUACGGGGGGCAGCAGUGAGGAAUCUUGGUCAAUGGACGAGAGUCUGAACCAGCCAAGUAGCGUGAAGGAUGACUGCCCUAUGGGUUGUAAACUUCUUUUAUAUGGGAAUAAAACGUUCCACGUGUGGGAUUUUGUAUGUACCAUAUGAAUAAGGAUCGGCUAACUCCGUGCCAGCAGCCGCGGUAAUACGGAGGAUCCGAGCGUUAUCCGGAUUUAUUGGGUUUAAAGGGAGCGUAGGUGGAUUGUUAAGUCAGUUGUGAAAGUGUGCGGCUCAACCGUAAAAGUGCAGUUGAAACUGGCAGUCUUGAGUACAGUAGAGGUGGGCGGAAUUCGUGGUGUAGCGGUGAAAUGCGUAGAUAUCACGAAGAACUCCGAUUGCGAAGGCAGUUCACUGGACUGCAACUGACACUGAGGCUCGAAAGUGUGGGUAUCAAACAGGAUUAGAUACCCGGGUAGUC
rnacentral:rRNA from 1 species